rnacentral:tRNA from 5 species
GCAGCGUCUGGAAGAGCUUGGCUAUGGCAAUCCCGUUGUCGAGGGAGAGGGGCGCAAUCAGAUUCGCGUGGAGGUUCCGGGCCUUUACGAUGCGC